CACCAGGCUGCUGCUGCAAAAAGAAAGAACAGGACAUAGAAAAAAGUAGCAAAAACAGUAAAAUUUGUUCUUGGCAUCCUUCCCGUGGGCUCCAUUUUUCGGCCAUCCCUCUCUCCAUCCAAACUACGUACGCCAUUACUUCAGGUCAUGCUGUCUUCCAGGUGACAUUGGUUAGGAAAGAAGUGAACAAAUACGUGACUUCCUGCUGAUAAUAUGCAGGACAGCUAGAGAACAGAACCUGGAAUCAAGAAGACCUGAGUUCAAAGCUGGCCUCAGAUGCUAGCUGUGUGACCCUGGG